rnacentral:rRNA from 1 species
UCUAACCUGCCCAAUGAGUAUUUGAAUGGCCGCGGUAAUUUGACCGUGCAAAGGUAGCAUAAUCAUUAGUUUUUUAAUUGAAAGCUGGAAUGAAUGGUUGGACGAGAAAAUAACUGUCUCAAUUUAAUUGUAUAUAGAAUUUUAUUUAUAAGUAAAAAAGCUUAUAUAAUUUUAAAAGACGAGAAGACCCUAUAGAGUUUUACAUUUUACUUUAUUAAUUAAGUUUAGUAUUUUUAUGUUUUUAAUAAAGUAAGGUGUUUUGCUGGGGCAGCAGAAAAAUUAGAUAAACUUUUUUUAUUAUUAUUACAUUGAUUUAUGGUUUAUUGAUCCAUUUUUUAUGAUUAUAAGAUUAAAUUACCUUAGGGAUAACAGCGUAAUUUUUUUUUAGAGUUCUUAUCGAAAAAAGAGUUUGCGACCUCGAUGUUGGAUUAAAAUUAACUUUUGGUGUAGGGGCUAAAAGGUUAGGUCUGUUCGACCUUUAAAAUUUUACA